rnacentral:sRNA from 1 species
GCCAGGCAUGGUGGUGCAUGCCUGUAAUCCCAACAGCUCCGGAGGCUGAGGCAGGAGGAUCACAGGUUUGAAGCCAGCCUCAGCAACUUAGCCAUUUGUAAACAACCUAGUGAGACCAUGUCUCUA